ensembl:lncRNA
CCUCCCGCCUGUGGCCUGUGCUGCCCUUGUCUGACUUUGGAUCCACUCUGCUCUGGCUGUGCUGGGCCCCAGCACUGUGACCAUCAGCGUGGAUGCCGUGGGCUUGGAGCCUCACUGCUUGCACACGGCCGGGCUGUUCUCGAAAGAAUGAUGGCUCUAUCAGCGGGAAGCAGUACUUCAAGUGCAACCCUGGCUAUGGGCUGCUGGUGCGGCCAGCCCGGGUGCGCAGGGCCCAGGGCGCCGGGCGCAGGCGCAGCGCUGGGCUCCGGGCGCAGGGUGCCCCCGAGGCCCGCCGGAGAGCCACACUGUCGGGCUCUGCUACCAACCUGGCCUCACUGACAGCCGCCCUGGCCAAGGCUGACAGGAGCCACAAGAUCGCGGAGAACCGGAAGUCCUGGGCCAGCUGAGCGCGGGUGCCUGGUGGGCACUGAAGGGGACCUCCCCAAGCAGGGCCGUGAAUGCUUUUUGCACGAUGCAGGGCUGGUGACUUCCCAGUUCCCAGCUCCCUGGGACCCCAGAAGCUUCGCUUCUUCCUUUCCUUGGGGGUGGAGGUUCUGGAAGCCCGGGGCGCUGUGGGGUGGUGGCUGAGGCCCUGAGCCACACAGCCAGGGCUGGGGGUGUCCCUGCUGGGUUCUGUGGUGCCCACCUGUUUUCUACUCUGUCACCCCACUAAUGUCUUAAUUUAAACCCUGGCCCUAAUAGUCCAUGCUGUGCCCAGCAAGGGUUCUGCCCUCCACCCCAAGUGCCAGCUCCCUUAAGUGCCUCGUCUUUGUGGGUGUCCUGGCACCCUUAAACCUGGUUACCAUUUAUUGCCUAACAGGAUGCUUGGAAUGUAUUUAUUUAUAUUUAUUUUUCCAAAUUGACCUCCCUCGUGUCCUCCCAGGCCUCUGCCUUCCGUCCUUGGCUGCCGGCCUCCUGCCUGGUAUGUGGGUCCUGGAGGUGGCUGGGAUGCAGCCCUCGUCGGUCCCUUUCUCGCAGACACCCAAGUGGCCUUACUGUGGGGAAAGCGGUCCGGGACAGGGUGGUCUGCCCUGCAGGGGUGACAGUGGGGCGGUGUCGCUGCCUCGUUGGGUGGAGCAGUGGUGCUGGGGCAUCCUCAGGCCAUGUUAACUUCUUGCUUCCUGAGCUCUGACUACGGCCUGGCAGGUGGCUGUGGAAGGACAGCAGCUCAGCGACGUCUCGGGACCCAGGCCCAGCCCUGGCUCCCCUGGUGUUCCCGUCGCCUCUGUGCCUGCGGUGCUGGCUGCGCUGGGAGGGAGCAGCACAUGUGUGAGUCUGGGGGAGGGCAGUUUGGAUGCGGAAGGGGACAGAUCCUGGCCUAGGCCUGCUGGGCCACCACAGCCCCCAGCUCAGGAGGGAAGCUGGGCGCCCUCAGAGCCCGUUUCUAGUUCCUCCACUUCCACCCCGAACUUGCCCGAAAAGCUUUCGUGGCAGAAUCCCUGGUUCUCGGGUCUGAAGCCAGUGGCAGGAAGUGGUGCCAGGCCCUGACUCUGGGUGGGACAGCCCCGCAGUGGUUCCUGGGAACACAGCCGCAGGUCCCCCACAGUGUGGCCCAGUGCCCAGCUGGUAGCCGAAUCUACUUGGUGUCACUAAUGCGUAUGUGUUACUGUACCCUGGCAGAGCUCUGCAGACCACCUUUCAACCGAAUAGGACCAGGGCUGGGGGGACCGGGUCUUCCUGUUUCCUUGGCAACAUAGCCAGACACCAGGGCUCUGGGCCGGGGGACCUGCCGGGGAGGAUCCUAGCACCAUCCUGUGGGGACAGUGUGGCCCUGAGGGGAGCCCUAGCUGGAGGCAGCAUCAGUUUAGCUUCCUGCCUGUCUUCAGCUGGCACUUGGGGGACAGCUGCCCGGUGUGUCACCAAAUGAGUGCUGUCAGCUUCGUGGGGCUUUCUGCUUGCUCCACCCCAUGCAGCACAGGCCUGGGUAGUUAGAUUUUGUCAUGCGCCACCUGUCCCUUGCGUAUCGUCUGGCCCUGUGGUCUGGGAAGGAGUCAGCACCCCCCAGGACUCCCUGGAGGAAGGGCAGGCCCUGUGUGCUGUGCAGAGGGGAUGUCGUGGAGGCGUGAGACCGUGGGGUGUCACUCACGUGCAGAGUCAUGGGCUUGCCGGAUCCAGGAUCCGGCUGCCCAGGAUGUGGUGUGAGUCACCAGGCGGAGCGGGGGAUGCCGUGCUCUGUGGUCCAUCAGGGUGACUUCCGGUGGAGCAGGAGCUGGAGGAGUGACUGCCCUGAUGGCUGCUUGUAGUGGAGCUGGCAGGUGGCAUGGGGUCUUGAGCUGCCUGGCUGUGCCCUGCUGGCAUCGCAGUCUGAUGGGCGCAGCGACCUCCUCUGCUCCUCCAGACCUGGGCCCGGCCCCCGCCGAGCCCUUGUCCUGCUGCCCCAGGCAGAUGGCGUGGAACCACUGGCCACCUGUUUUGCUCUCCUGGGCUGGGUGCAGCUCGCUCAGCACCCACAUGUUCCUGGGCAGCUUCUCAGGAAUCACGGUGCCUUCCUGGUGGCUGCAGACCCUGAUGGUGUUGGGAGUCUGGGCACAGCUUCUUUAUGUGCAGAUUUUGUAAACAGCAUGAGUUCACAUGAAAGAAGUGGCUUUGAUUCGGGAAUUAUAGUGAUUUGGUACACUUAGGUGGGAGGUAAAAAAUCCAAAGACUGCAAUGAAUUGUAAAGAUGUCAGUGGUUUGCAUUGUACAAUGAACUAAACCUCUGUAAUUUUGUACCAUAUACGCCUUUCCAGCAAAGGACCAGCAGCUUCUAAAUAAAACCAGAUGAUUUCUCGCCUCUGAGCUCUGGCUCGUUACUUCUCCUGUCCCUGACCCGGAUUCAGUUCGGUCUCCCUGAAGACCGUUCUGAUCAUGGCCUUGUUCUCAGACAUGGCUAUGGGCUCUUCCAGAUGGAGACUGGGAAAAGGAAGUUGGGGACAGUGGCCCUUGGCCCCCACGGGCACCUUGGCCGCUCUGCAGCUCCUGCGCAGAUGAGCCUCUUACAGAAGCCAAGAACCACAGGGACGUUCGGAGGUCUGAGCCACCGUAAUGGGAGCGUGGGGGGGCCUUUCCCCAGCUCUCCGGCAGGGCUCGCUGUCCCUAGGCCUGCAUGACAGACACCGUUCUGCACCAGACCGGGGGCCAGAGCGCCUCUUCUGCUGUGUGGAG